rnacentral:rRNA from 1 species
UACGUAGGGUGCAAGCGUUAUCCGGAAUUAUUGGGCGUAAAGAGCUCGUAGGCGGUUUGUCGCGUCUGCUGUGAAAACUGGAGGCUCAACCUCCAGCCUGCAGUGGGUACGGGCAGACUAGAGUGCGGUAGGGGAGAUUGGAAUUCCUGGUGUAGCGGUGGAAUGCGCAGAUAUCAGGAGGAACACCAAUGCGAAGGCAGCUCGCUGGGACGUACUGACACUGAGGCGCGAAAGCUGGGGAGCAA